CACAACAGGAAGCUCAAAUUAAUUGGGCUCUCUUAAUGUGGGCUCCACGGGAACUUCAAGUUCAUUUCUUGAUAUCAUAGAGUACAACAGCCUAUCAGGCUCAUUGUUUAGUUUAUUUCCUUUUUUAAAAAAUAGUUUAAUCUUCAUAAUGGGUGUGACUUUGAGUUUUAUGGUUAUAUUAUUACUCUGGGAGAGAGUGCAAGAUACAAGCUUUUCUGGUUACAGACUAAGGAACACAGUAUUUGGGGAGAAAGAUUUUGUCUUUGUGUUUUUAAAAGGUGUGAUGUGGCUCUGGAAACCUCACGGAGUCAUACUGAUCAGAUUUGAUAGAGGUAGACUGCCUGAAAAUAUUAAUGCAGGAGAAUCAAACAAAAAGAGAUUUCAAUUCUAAACUUUUGUCUUUAGAUUUGUAUUUUACAGAGUGUGCCUACUUGGAUUCCUGGUCUCAAGGAUUUUCAGCUGGGUCCAGUCAGGACACAUCCCGCUACAGCAUUUACUUCAUUCUUCCUACCCCCCACCACCAAGUAUAUCUCAACACCCAUGUACAGCUUGAAGAAGUUAUAGAGGAGGCAUUGCCCCAAUUCCCUGGACUUUGGGGGGCUGAAAGUGGUUAUUCUAAAGUUGUUUUUAUGAGGCAUUUAGAAAUGUUAAUUUAAUGGGGAAGAAUUAGCUAGAUUGAGUUAUACAGUCGUAAUCUCAUUGGUUAACUAAGCUAAAACCAUAUCUUUGCUUUGAUAUAGAAUUUAUUUGUUAAAAGUUUAAAAGUACAAGGUUUAGAGC
rnacentral:lncRNA from 1 species